rnacentral:rRNA from 2 species
UAUGGUCAAGUGAAGAAGCGCAUACGGUGGAUGCCUUGGCAGUCAGAGGCGAUGAAAGACGUGGUAGCCUGCGAUAAGCUUCGGGGAGUCGGCAAACAGACUUUGAUCCGGAGAUCUCUGAAUGGGGGAACCCACCUGGCAUAAGUCAGGUAUCUUGUACUGAAUACAUAGGUGCAAGAGGCGAACCAGGGGAACUGAAACAUCUAAGUACCCUGAGGAAAAGAAAUCAACCGAGAUUCCCUUAGUAGUGGCGAGCGAACGGGGACUAGCCCUUAAGUGGCUUUGAGAUUAGCGGAACGCUCUGGAAAGUGCGGCCAUAGUGGGUGAUAGCCCUGUACGCGAAAAUCUCUUAGUCAUGAAAUCGAGUAGGACGGAGCACGAGAAACUUUGUCUGAAUAUGGGGGGACCAUCCUCCAAGGCUAAAUACUACUGACUGACCGAUAGUGAACCAGUACCGUGAGGGAAAGGCGAAAAGAACCCCGGAGAGGGGAGUGAAAUAGAUCCUGAAACCGUAUGCGUACAAGCAGUGGGAGCCUACUUUGUUAGGUGACUGCGUACCUUUUGUAUAAUGGGUCAGCGACUUAUAUUCAGUGGCGAGCUUAACCGAAUAGGGGAGGCGUAGCGAAAGCGAGUCUUAAUAGGGCGUUUAGUCGCUGGGUAUAGACCCGAAACCGGGCGAUCUAUCCAUGGGCAGGUUGAAGGUUAGGUAACACUGACUGGAGGACCGAACCGACUACCGUUGAAAAGUUAGCGGAUGACCUGUGGAUCGGAGUGAAAGGCUAAUCAAGCUCGGAGAUAGCUGGUUCUCCUCGAAAGCUAUUUAGGUAGCGCCUCAUGUAUCACUGUAGGGGGUAGAGCACUGUUUCGGCUAGGGGGUCAUCCCGACUUACCAAACCGAUGCAAACUCCGAAUACCUACAAGUGCCGAGCAUGGGAGACACACGGCGGGUGCUAACGUCCGUCGUGAAAAGGGAAACAACCCAGACCGUCAGCUAAGGUCCCAAAGUUAUGGUUAAGUGGGAAACGAUGUGGGAAGGCUUAGACAGCUAGGAGGUUGGCUUAGAAGCAGCCACCCUUUAAAGAAAGCGUAAUAGCUCACUAGUCGAGUCGGCCUGCGCGGAAGAUGUAACGGGGCUCAAACCAUACACCGAAGCUACGGGUAUCACUUAGGUGAUGCGGUAGAGGAGCGUUCUGUAAGCCUGUGAAGGUGAGUUGAGAAGCUUGCUGGAGGUAUCAGAAGUGCGAAUGCUGACAUGAGUAACGACAAUGGGAGUGAAAAACUCCCACGCCGAAAGACCAAGGUUUCCUGCGCAACGUUAAUCGACGCAGGGUUAGUCGGUCCCUAAGGCGAGGCUGAAAAGCGUAGUCGAUGGAAAACAGGUUAAUAUUCCUGUACUUCUGGUUAUUGCGAUGGAGGGACGGAGAAGGCUAGGCCAGCUUGGCGUUGGUUGUCCAAGUUUAAGGUGGUAGGCUGAGAUCUUAGGUAAAUCCGGGAUCUUAAGGCCGAGAGCUGAUGACGAGUUGCCAUUAGGCGACGAAGUGGUUGAUGCCAUGCUUCCAAGAAAAGCUUCUAAGCUUCAGGUAACCAGGAACCGUACCCCAAACCGACACAGGUGGUUGGGUAGAGAAUACCAAGGCGCUUGAGAGAACUCGGGUGAAGGAACUAGGCAAAAUGGCACCGUAACUUCGGGAGAAGGUGCGCCGGUGAGGGUGAAGGACUUGCUCCGUAAGCUCAUGCCGGUCGAAGAUACCAGGCCGCUGCGACUGUUUAUUAAAAACACAGCACUCUGCAAACACGAAAGUGGACGUAUAGGGUGUGACGCCUGCCCGGUGCCGGAAGGUUAAUUGAUGGGGUUAGCUAACGCGAAGCUCUUGAUCGAAGCCCCGGUAAACGGCGGCCGUAACUAUAACGGUCCUAAGGUAGCGAAAUUCCUUGUCGGGUAAGUUCCGACCUGCACGAAUGGCGUAACGAUGGCGGCGCUGUCUCCACCCGAGACUCAGUGAAAUUGAAAUCGCUGUGAAGAUGCAGUGUAUCCGCGGCUAGACGGAAAGACCCCGUGAACCUUUACUAUAGCUUUGCACUGGACUUUGAAUUUGCUUGUGUAGGAUAGGUGGGAGGCUUUGAAGCGUGGACGCCAGUCUGCGUGGAGCCAUCCUUGAAAUACCACCCUGGCAACUUUGAGGUUCUAACUCAGGUCCGUUAUCCGGAUCGAGGACAGUGUAUGGUGGGUAGUUUGACUGGGGCGGUCUCCUCCUAAAGAGUAACGGAGGAGUACGAAGGUGCGCUCAGACCGGUCGGAAAUCGGUCGUAGAGUAUAAAGGCAAAAGCGCGCUUGACUGCGAGACAGACACGUCGAGCAGGUACGAAAGUAGGUCUUAGUGAUCCGGUGGUUCUGUAUGGAAGGGCCAUCGCUCAACGGAUAAAAGGUACUCCGGGGAUAACAGGCUGAUACCGCCCAAGAGUUCAUAUCGACGGCGGUGUUUGGCACCUCGAUGUCGGCUCAUCACAUCCUGGGGCUGAAGCCGGUCCCAAGGGUAUGGCUGUUCGCCAUUUAAAGUGGUACGCGAGCUGGGUUUAGAACGUCGUGAGACAGUUCGGUCCCUAUCUGCCGUGGACGUUUGAGAUUUGAGAGGGGCUGCUCCUAGUACGAGAGGACCGGAGUGGACGAACCUCUGGUGUUCCGGUUGUCACGCCAGUGGCAUUGCCGGGUAGCUAUGUUCGGAAGAGAUAACCGCUGAAAGCAUCUAAGCGGGAAACUUGCCUCAAGAUGAGAUCUCACUGGAGCCUUGAGCUCCCUGAAGGGCCGUCGAAGACUACGACGUUGAUAGGUUGGGUGUGUAAGCGCUGUGAGGCGUUGAGCUAACCAAUACUAAUUGCCCGUGAGGCUUGACCAUA